GUGCUCGCUUUGGCGGCAUAUACACUAAAAUUGGAACGAUACACAGAAGAUUAGCAUGGCCCCCAUGCAAGGAUGACCUGCAAAUUCGUGAAGCGUUCCAUGUUUAA
rnacentral:snRNA from 1 species